UACGUAGGUGACAAGCGUUGUCCGGAUUUACUGGGCGUAAGAGCGCGCAGGCGGUCGUUCAAGUCGAGUGUGAAAGCCCCCGGCUCAACUGGGGAGGGUCACUCGAUACUGAUCGACUCGAAGGCAGGAGAGGGUAGUGGAAUUCCCGGUGUAGUGGUGAAAUGCGUAGAUAUCGGGAGGAACACCAGUGGCGAAGGCGACUACCUGGCCUGUUCUUGACGCUGAGGCGCGAAAGCUAGGGGAGCAAACGGG
rnacentral:rRNA from 1 species